AUACGUAGGUGACAAGCGUUAUCCGGAUUUACUGGGCGUAAAGAGCGUGUAGGCGGUCUUGCAAGUCAGAAGUGAAAUUCCUGAGCUCAACUCGGGCGCUGCUUCUGAAACUGCAGGACUUGAGUGCUGGAGGGGAUAGCGGAAUUCCUAGUGGAGCGGUAAAAUGCGCAGAUAUUAGGAAGAACACCGGUGGCGAAGGCGGCUAUCUGGACAGAAACUGACGCUGAGGCGCGAAAGCGUGGGGAGCAAACAGGAUUAGAUACCCUGGUAGUCCACGCCGUAAACGAUGGAUGCUAGAUGUCGGGGGGUUGCCCUCGGUGUCGUAGUUAACGCGUUAAGCAUCCCGCCUGGGGAGUACGGUCGCAAGGCUGAAACUCAAAUGAAUUGGCGGGG
rnacentral:rRNA from 1 species